CGUGUCACGGUAUGAGGCUCAACUUUACCGUACUGUGUCGAAUUACUCCUAGUACUCCGGUGAGUAGUAGUACCUAGUCCGGUCAAGUUGGGCGUACCGUACCGUUAUCUUGACAAUGCUAGCUAGUCGAUGAGCGCGCUCCUACGCCAAGUUAUUAUCCCGGCCUAGUACUCCUAUCAUCGAUCUUUGUGUGUGAUUGAAGGAACAUGCAAGCUAUAGCUAGUCAACACCCAAAGACAAAGCAACAAUAGAGUAGCACUAGUGCUCGUAAUAAUCUUUCCGAUAAACCAACUUUAGCAGGUGAAACGCCGACAAUUAGUAAACGCACGUAGUCCAAAUUGGCACAGACACUUACGUUUCCCUAGAUCAACUGACGCCAUCGCAAGCGACUUGAGUGGAUAAGUACAUUGGGUGCUCCAUGUACGACUGGCGAUCUGUCUUUUUUUUUUUUUGAAUUGACCUUGUCACACCUCACAAAGACGCCGGCCGAUGGAAGUUUUCCUAGCUUAGGACGACAAAACGGCUAAUGGAUCAAUUUGUGCAAAUAUGGGGGUGACCUGAACUCUUGAAGGACGUUUCCCUUGUACCGAGAGGACGAGCAGAGUGCGCUGGUUCACUGCUCCAGUGUCAAAGACAAGCCAAGUUUCUCAUAGAGGAGCAAAACGCGAUGGUUUUUUAUCUGAAUUUUGCUCACCGUGGUCCGGAGACGAGGCCAAACUUACGAAGAAAACUCUCCUGGUGACUAAUCCGAGUGUCAAGGCCACGCACAUGGCUGGUCUGCGACACCCACCAGCCGAAAUCAGUACUCCGGUCUCGGAUCCCGGGAUUUUCUUUAUUGGAGACACUGUAAACUUCAGAGUUCCACCGUCUAGUGCCCAGUGGGGCUCGCAUCGCUGGACACAAGAACGGCAAGCACGUACCAACUGCCACGCCACCUUUCCUCUCGAGAAAUUGUACGUACUCUGAGGCUAAAGGAGGCAAGGAGCCAUGCACGUGGUCUUCCCAGAACUCAAAAAC
rnacentral:lncRNA from 1 species